rnacentral:lncRNA from 11 species
GAGAGAGAGAGAGAGAGAGAAAGGACAUAUAUAGAAUGGUUGCAUAUACUUUUUCUGGAAAGUGCAUUAUAAUAGUAACAUUAUGCAGAUAAGGCAAAGCAGCCAGAAGAGCAGAGAACAUUUUUGGAGAAUCAUCUAGUGCAAUAAAAAUAUGAAAAAAUUGCUGAAGAUGUUCUAAUUGGAGAAUAGUGGAUUUGGUAUAAUCUUGAGCCAAGAGCUCUCCCUAAGCGGAUUUCCAUGUCUGAACAGUGAUGAAAAUCCUGGUCUCCAGAGUCAUAGUCCAGGACUCAAACUGUUAUGUUACACUGACUUUCUAAGGUACUGAAAGAAAGGCAGAAGAUUUCCUGAACACUUUUGGUUGUUGUUGUUGUGUGACUGUGCACAUACAUGUGUAUUUUAAACUAAGUUUCAUGCUACACUUUUUAAAAGUCAGCCAUUCAUGAAAAAAGUGGAAUAAAAUUCCUCAGCAUGAAAAUAAACAGUUGCCUUCCUAGA